GAAAAAACAAGCUUGCAACGCUUUUUAGGUUGUGUUAAUUAUGUGGCCGAUUUUGUCAAAAAUAUUCGUCAAAUCUGUGCCUCAUUAUUCAAAAGAUUACAAAGUAAUCCUGACCCAUGGAAUCAUGAGUGUACGCAUGCAGUCCAAAAGGUGAAAAAGUUAGUCAAAAAUAUUCCUUGUCUUUUAUUUUGAAAACCGAUUGCAAAGCUUCAAAAGAUAUUUUACAAAAAGAUGUAAAAAUUCUUGUUUCCAAACAAAUCUUUGCAAGGUGGCAGGCAAUUUUGUCCUGUUUUGAUUUUGAAAUUCUAUAUAUUCAAGGAAAAUCAAACUUCUCGGCAGACUUCCUCACAAGAGAGUUUAUUCAAAAAAGUGAGAAAAAUGAGUUGGGCUAAGAAAGUCGAAGAAGAAGAAGAAGAAGAGGAUUCUCAAAAUCCUUUUCAAACAAAAACUUCAAGAAAGAAGAAAAACUCAAUUCCUUUCUUCGAAGAUCCCCCAAAGGAUUAACUAUUAUCAAACAUUUCAUUGGAACUCCAGAAAAUUAUAUACAAUUUCAAAAUGACAUUCUUAUGAAUUUAAGAUGUCCAAAACUUCAAGACUUUAGAUGGUACAAAGAUAUGUUUAUAUCUCGUAUUAUGCAAAGGUCUGAUUGUCAACAAUCUUUUUGGAAAGAAAAAUUCAUUUCAAGACUUCCAAAACUUUUUGCUGAAAAAGUGAAAAAUUCAAUUCUUGAAGAAAAUGAUGAUCUUCAAGCACUUACUUAUGGUGAAAUUAUUAAUUUCAUUAAUAAGGAAGCUCUCAAUUUAUGUAAUGACUUAAAACUCAAAGCUAAAUUGAAAGCAGAAAAGUCCCAACUCAAAAUGAGUUAGGAUCAUUCUGUGAACAAUAUGGAUUUGAGAAAGUUUUACCUCCUUCUUCAAAAUCAAGAAAAAUCUUUCAUAAAAGACGAUUUUCAAAAAGAAAAAAUUCUCCUGAAAAAAAUUUUCAUAAUAAGAAAUCUUCAAAAAGAAAACAAUUUUCUAAAAGAAAAUUUACAAAAGAUUUUCAAAAGAAAAAUUCGAAAGUUACAUGUUGGAAAUGUAACAAAACUGGUCAUUAUUCUAAUAGAUGCCCUCUCAAAGAAAAAAUUAGUACUGUUCAAGUUGAUGAAGAUACUAAAACCCAGCUUCUCAACCUCAUUCAAUCUAGUUCUGAUAAUGAGUCUAACUCUGAAUUAGAACAAGUUUUUCUCAAUCAAGAAGAUUCUGAUUAUGAAUCUACUCAAAAUUCUGAUUCUUGCACUUCUUCAAAUGAUAAGAAAUUUGUGGUUGCAAAACUAUAAAUGUCUUAACAGGAGAAGAAGAAAUUAUUCAAAAUAUCAUUGAUAGGAUUGAUAAUUUGGUGUUCGGUAAGACCAUCAAUGUUCCAUUCCACACCGGAAGAACCAUCAUAUGAUCUUUGAGCAGGCAACUUUUCUUCAAAAAGUUGAUCUGGAAAUGAAGGACAAGGAUAAAAUUUAGGAAUAUUUUGAU
rnacentral:lncRNA from 1 species